rnacentral:misc_RNA from 1 species
AACGCACCUUGCGCUCCUUGGUAUUCCGAGGAGCAUGCCUGUUUGAGUGUCAUUAAAUUCUCAACUCUUAAUUCUUUGCUGGAUUAUGAGCUUGGACUUGGAGCGUGCUGGCUUUUGCAAGUCGGCUCCUCUUCAAAUGCAUUAGCGGAUUUUACUUCUCGCAAAAAACUCGGCGUGAUAAUUGUUAUGCUGUGUAUGAGCUUGAAGAGCUGCUUCUUAACUGUCCUUCUGGGACAAUAUUGACCAAUUUGACCUCAAAUCAGGUAGGACUACCCGCUGAACUUAA